rfam:Butyrivibrio proteoclasticus strain P18 genome assembly, contig: Ga0066879_104
GUGAUAUAGCAGACAGAAGUCAAAAUGUCAUGUGCUUGCACAAAUGACAUUUUGACCUCGGGAUGCGAACAUACAUGAGGAAAAAAGCACGAAGUGCGAUUUCCGAAUGUAUGCAGGAUUGCGAGAGCGAAGCGUAGCAAUCCGUAUAUCAU